rnacentral:rRNA from 1 species
UACGUAGGCAGCGAGCGUUGUUCGGAGUUACUGGGCGUAAAGGGUGUGUAGGCGGUUAUUUAAGUUUGGUGUGAAAUCUCCCGGCUCAACCGGGAGGGUGCGCCGAAUACUGAAUGACUUGGAGUGCGGGAGAGGUGAGUGGAAUUCCUGGUGUAGCGGUGAAAUGCGUAGAUAUCAAGCGGAACACCGGUGGCGAAGGCGGCCUUCUGGACAGUGACUGACGCUGAGACGCGAAAGCGUGGGGAGCGAACAGG